CAAGUCCAGGUCAACUUUUUUUUUUCCCUUGUCUAGCAAGUUUCCUGGGGAUAUGUGUUUUAAUGAGGACCCAAAUGUCCCAAUUAAUGCUCCAAGUCCAGAUGCUCAUGCUCAGGAAGGCUCCUGCUGCAGAGGGGUUGUCCAGCCCAUGCUGGUGUGUGCCACAAAUACCACUGCAUCAACACUGCAGGAAAACCCUGGAGCUGGGACAUUGGACUGAACAAGGUUUUCUUCAGUGCUCACAGCUGGCCGUCAUUUACCAGCAGAAAGAAUUUCACAUUUGCAGUGAGACAUUUCUUCUUCCUUUACUUUAAAAGGUCCUUGAUAGUAAUCUGUUAAUUACUUGCUUCUUCCCCUGCCGGGUCAGUAAUAAAUUAUUCAGACCUUUUUUACAUUGGGCCCCACUUGACGUGUAGGUCAGUGUUGGUAAAAUACGACGUGAUGAGAUACCAGAGGGGCUUGCAUCAACCACGGGAAAGCACAGACCUGCAGGGAAAUGAGGUUGAUGUCUCUUCCCCUCAUUUUGGUUUUGGUUGCUUUAACACCACUGAAAUCUCCUGUGACUGACAGCCUGAGAAGUCAGCUCAGGUAUAUGAGGAAGCCCUUUUCUGAGGGCUUUAUGGUAAAACACUUGCGGUGCUGACACACGCAUCCAGCUGCUCUGAUUUUGGGCACAAAGUGCACCCCAACAUGGCUCUCAGUUUGGGGGCAACCUGCCCCAUCUGCUGGGAGCUGGCUGUACCCGGGGUUUGGCAGGCAAAGCUCCCGGUUUCUUGGGUGGACUUUUUUCCUAGAGUUCCUGUAAUCGUAAGAGGGAUGUCCCGAAGCCUCUGGGGUUUUGGCACCAGCCUUUCUGGGUCGCACGCUCUCAUUUGCACCACAGCAAGAUGUACUCCUGAUAACCCUCGUCAGGCCUGGGACACAGAGCUGCAAGGUCUCCAGGUCUGGGGUGUUGCUUUCUGCCAAAUUACAGACUAAUAGCUCAGGAGGGCUGGGCCCCUUCAGCUGGGGAUCCUCCUAUGUCCUCAUUUGCCCAUGCAUAUGCAUAUGCAUGUGUGUGUGUGUGCACAUAAGUAUGUGUAUGUACGGGUGCGUAUAUGUAAUCACAAGACAAAUUUGAAUGAGAGAAAAUGUAAGACUAAGUGUGGUGCUGGCUGGAGAGAGGUCAGGAAGGGCUUUUUAGACUCCAGCAUGGCCUCUGGUGCUGCAUCGGUGUAAGGGGGGGUUCCUCACCUGGAAGUCCAAUUUGGUUGCAAAAGGGCAAGGAAAUGGCAUUUACGAACCAAAUCCAGUACAAGCCAAAUGAAAAGCUGGGAUUGUUAGCCGCAACAAGUGUGGAGCUGGAGUUAGGGAAGCCUGCUCUUUGAUUAAGGCUGCCAAACGCAUGAACAGCAUGGCGAGCAGGAUAUGAACAGUGAGAAAGACUCCUUAAAUGCAGAGUCACCCGGUGAUGGGGAAGCUGUGAGUGGAAAAGAGCUAAAGGAUGAAAAAUUGCUAACUCUGACUCAGAAGGCAGAGGUGUUCAGUCAAUAUUUUUGUUUGUACUUGGCUCUUUGAUGUGUUCUUCAGCAAGAAACGUGUAUUUUCCAUGCCAUCAUGUACUGGGGGUAUCAAAUAGGAGAAUAGUAAAGGUGAACAGGUAGUGGGCAUGAGGUUAUCUUUGCUAGAUAAGAUGCUGUAGAUACUGUUUCUGCCUCCUCCAUCUCCAGGAGUUCCUAGAAAGAUGCUGGAAAAUGGGGAGGUUUCAAAGAAAAAAGAACAACAACAACAAAAAAGCAAGAAAACAAGAGAAAUUAGCAAGCAGUAGGAAGGAGUCCAUCUGACUGGCAGAAGAGCCAAGCCCCUGUGACUUUGGCUGCAAAAGUGGAGGCCUUAAGCCUUGUGCUGCCAGGGGUGGCUGUGUGCCGCUCGCCUCCCACUGGUGCUCCUACUGCCUGGGAUGGGGGCAGGUUAAGUCAGCCUAAAGGUACAGCUCAGGAUGUGGCUUCAUGUUAGGAAAGAAGCAGCUGCACCGCCCCGUGGAGAGGAGCCCUCUCUUCUGCAGGAGCUUUUCUGCAUGGGGUUUUGGUGGGUCCCUACCCCCUUUCCUUGGGAGCAGUUGACGACACCUGAGGUCUACUGCUUUCUUCUUUUUAAACUCCACUUGCCGGUUUGCAUCUGCCAAAGGCAGAUGAUGCCAGCAAAGGGCAAUGCUUUUCAUUGCGUUCAGGCCAGCUGCUGGGUCCCAGUGGCCAUAUGCAUUGGGGGGGUCUUCAGGAGAGCAGUGCCAGGAUUUGCCCUUGCAGAUGAUCAGUGGUCCAGCAGGGAUGGGUGGCUAUGCCAGAGCUCCCCGUAGCACUAGGCCUAUUGGUGGUGCCUGAGUGGAGGUGCCAGCACCUUUGCUUCUGGUAGCAAUUUAAUACCCUUCUUGGCAUUUUAUGUUUAAGGUGCAGUAGGCCUUGCUGAGAUGCAUGAGGGUGGCAGAGCUAGCCCACACAUGCAAGCAGGAGGGAAAGUGCUGCACAUUAUGAAAUUCGGCAAGCAAAAUAAUCUCUUUUCAUCGUAUAGUCGCUAAACCAAAGCAUUGUACAGGUGUUGUCUUCAGCAGCGGAUAUGCAGUUGCAGGACUUCCCAUCUGGUUGCAUCAGUCUCCCAAACUGAUCUGGUGGGCAGUGCUGCUGAUGCAGUGACUAAUGAGCAGGAGGGAACCUGAAAUCCUGCCACUUUCUAGAAACUUUGCGAAGACCAAGCAGCUUAGAGCCCACCCUGGCUGCCAGUCUGCAGAGCCACGCUGGGGGAGGCUCCGCAUGCACUUACAAAAGCGAAAUGGUAAGCCUGAAAGCCCAAACUCGCUGCGUCCCAAGACUCUGGGUUUUUUUACCCAUUGCAGAUAUGUUUUAUUUCUCCCUGGUUGCAGUUAUUUGCUGCUUUUAUGGUCCUGGUGAUCCCCUACGUGUGGCUCUCCCAGGGUUUCUUGCAGGGGAGCCUUUGAGGCACCACCCGGUGGUGGGACUUUCCUCCUGCAUCUUCAGGCACCCCCACCACACGUCUGAGAACCCCAGCGGCCACUGAGUGCAAGCUCUGCUUGGGAGUCAUGGCCUGGCAGCAGUACAGCCUGGGAGAGGAGCUGGAAAAUCCCAGCUCCAGCCUAGACUGUAUCUCUCCAUCUCCAGUGCGCGGCUGGGCAGAUGACUCAGUGCCUGUGCUUUAGCUUCCCCGUCUUUAUAGAUGACGUCAGUACUGCAGGCCUUGCUAUGGACAUUAAUUACAUGUGGCCGUGGUCUGCAAACAGGCCAAGCUCAAGCCCAUCUCUAGAGGAUCUGACCUGUAAUGCUUAGGGCAGCAGCCCGGCACUGGAGCGAGCAGCAUCCACGUGUAGUGCUGGCAGCAGAAGCGACUCAAAGCAACCCAGCUGUAGCAAUGCAUCGGCGCGGGCAGUAACGGAGAGCGACGGCAGGAUCCAUCCCAUCUGCCCACCACAUCUAGGCAGAGGUGGCAGAGGAGCUGGAGCUCCUGGCACGUCUAGGAAAAAGCCUUGGCUGCUGCCCCAGCAUCCAGCUCUGUCUCUGAGUGCGGGGGGACCGAGGAGCCCUGUAGUCCCAGCAUGGAACAACAGGAUGCCACACAGGAUCUGAGCAUUGCUCUUGGAGGCUGGCCCUGGGUUUUGCCACAUCAGCCACACGCUAGUUCAUGAGAGGGGCCAGCGCAGCUCCCCGUCAGUCUGCAGAGGGCCAGCAGCUUUGUUGCCUAGGGGAGGCUCUUGACUUUCCCCACAAGACCCAUCAGGUUGUCUGCUGGGAGUCCUGUUUGCCCUGCUCCCACAGGGUGCAUGCCUGCAGACUGCACGGCACUCACUUUUGGCCCAAAUGCACCUGUCCGGGAGGCUGGUUGCACGUGGGCGCUGUGAGGAUGUGCAGCCCGAUUAUAGCUCCUCCAAGGCAGCUGAGACAAGGUGCUGGCCAUCGCUUCUCCGCGUGGCUGCUGUGCGGAGCCACGCUGCCCCGGGGAGGGGUCUUACCGUGGGGCAGAGCAGGGCAUUGCUGCCAUGGCUCUGACCCAGUGCUUUGCAGCCCUGAAGGUGCCGGCCUGCCUCACUGUGCCUGCAUGGGCAGGGCAGAACUAAACCUCCCACCAACAGCCUUUCUCUGUUUUUAAAUUAGGAGUAGUCACUUUAACCAGCGGCAGCUGAUCUGGAUUGUCCCCUGCAGCUCGCGCUCCGUCCAUGCCUCGGUGCAGAGCGGGGACACCUGAAGCUGGCACGAGCGCAGGCGCUGCUUCCCCAUGCCCAGCAGGCACAGCCCCUCUGUGCACGCGCGUGUGCAUGAGGGAGGUGUGGGGAUAGCCCCUGUGAUGGGGAAUGUCAGCCGUGAAGGUUUUCUCACAGCAAAGAUUUUCUGGAUUAAGUGACGCCUAAGUCUGAUGGAGAUAUUUGGGGUGUUGGACAAUGUUGAAAAUCCAGUUGUGCUCUUUGUUGUCCUUUGACGGGUAUUCACCCCGGCUGUUAUUUCCUGCUCUAGCCCACGGAUGCCUCAGAUAGAGCCUGAUCCUUGGUUUGAUUUGAAUUUCAUUAAACUCCACAGAAGGGCCUUCUCCCAACUCUGAACGCUGGGGAUAUCUGCAGCUGCUGUUGGGUCUAAUGGCACCCAGCGGUGAUGGGAACAGGGCCGAGGGAGGCCGUGCGCCUGACCACGCCUCAGGCGUGACAGGGUCCUGAGCCUUUUCGGGUCGGACUGGGCGCCUGAGUCUGGCACCAGCAAAGGAGAGCUCUUGUGCAAGCCUGCACCUUCACUUUUGCUGCUCAGCUUUUAUCUCUAUUGCCCUAAGGCCCAAUUAUGGAUUUUCAUGGAAAUGUGGGUGGAGGGACACAACUCCUUCUAAUCCUCGGUGCUUAAGCAUUUGACGGUUUCCAAAGUGCCAGUGUCGGUGUAGCCUGAGUCACGCAUCCCCAGGCAGACUGUCUGCACUCUUCACUACUUUUGCAUCUUUUCGUGAAUACCCUUGAAAACCCCAGUAGCUUCUGGAAAGCAGAAAUAUAAGAAACCUGUUGGAGUGGGCUCUCUGGACUGUACAGUGUGUUUAUCCUGCUGUGUCACGUCUGCAUUUACACUAACCGAACUGAUGAAGUCCAGGAUUUUCUCAGAGGGAGCCCAGCCCGCAGGCAUCCCGAAAAGUACAUCAUACGCUUUUUGGUGCUGUGGGAUAUCUGCUCUACUUAUCUUCAGUCCAUUUUUUUUAUAUAUCCUCAGAGCCACACUCAGCAACUCCUCUCAGAAGCAUCCUCAGCCACCGUAUUUAUACACGGCAGCCGCUUCUGUCUGGCUUACAUAGUCCUGCCAGGGAUGAAAUCAGGAGCACCCCAUACUUUCAGAACAUUUAGGUUGCAAAAUCACACCCUGAGCAGGAGAGAAAUGCUGGAGCCAAGGCUGCCAGCAGGAGUUGGCUUUCCCGGUUGUGCUGUGCAGUGCGAUCCUUGGGUGGCAUGACCAGGGUCUGCUCCCCCUGCCUGGCUGAAUUUAUAUUCCCUAAUUUGUCUGCCGUUUUGGAGCCCAGCACCUCCAGCCCAUGAGACAUCUCUCCUCCUCCUCCCGUGUGGACACCAGCUGCCAGAAGCCGCUUGCUUCAUACGCCAGCACAUGCAGGAAUGGCAGCAACAUUAUCUCACUGGUGCCGGCUGGAGAGAAGUCAUAACCUUGCUGGCACCAAAACAGGGAUGAAUCAAAAAUCACACAGGCUCUGUUGCUGCAUCACUGCCAGCUGAUCUUAAUUUUGCUCUCCCCGCUGAUGCCUAGGAAUCUGCCAGUGCUGCUUCUUCCCAAGCAGGAAACCCACGCCCGGUGUGGGUGGGAAUAGCCAGGGCAACAGCGUGCCUUCACACCUCCCUCCCCAGGGGCACAUUCAUUUUGGGAUUUUUGCUCAGGAAUCACUGACUUGUCAUUUCUAACUUUAAUUUCACUUUAAUAUGAUUAUCCUUCCUUUCUGUAAUUUAUUCCCACAGGUGCUUACAGCACCUCCCUGCUUAUUAUCAGAAAGAUUAAUUAAUGAGCUGUUUAUCCUUUACCCCAGAUCAUUAACCAAGCUUGAUUUAAUAAAAUCAAACCAGACAUCUGGCCUAGCAACACCUGACUGGGCAGCCACCUCUUUUAUCAACCUUCUGUGUUCGGCUGACAGCAAAUAUCCAGUGCCAGGCACUGAGCAGCCAUCUCACCAGUGUCUGCAGGGCAGGCACAGUUUUUCGUAUUUAUUAUAGUCCUGUAAUGACUAAGGCUGCAGUCCAGAAAAAUGCUUAAGCUUGUUUUUAACUGCAUAGGUGCAGCUAAGUACCCUUAAUGGUUGUAUGACAUGACCAUAUACUUAAGUGCUUUCUGAACUGCAGCUUUAUUGAGGUUUCUGUUCUUGUCAUACCACACAGCCUCCCGUUUUGCCAUCCCUUUUUUCCAGCGUGGAAAAAGAGUAUUUGCAGGCUGCUCCCCUUACCAGAAUUCCCCAAAUGCCCCAUGCUGGGUGAGACGUGCCCAGGCUCUCCCCGGGCAGAGCUGCAGUAAUGACUGCGUUUUUGUCCCUACCCUGCUCCCAGGGGUAGGAGCUGGCCCUGCCUGGGCUCCUGUGCCUGGCCUUAGUGCCUGGUUGCACCCCUCUUCCCCUGGGGCUGACAGGCAGUGGCAGAACUGGGACGAGGUCCUGCUGCGAGGUUUUGGGUUUUGCAGAGGGUGCUGCAAACCUGUCCGUUGCAUGGGGAAUUGGCUGCCUCCGCGGCUCAUCCAGGGGUGGCCGUGCAGCCUGGCUUCUGUGCUCGGUCUGGCUUGAAGGCUCCCAGUUGACGUUACAGCCCUGCAGAAACAGCCAAGAGCUGUAACUCCCUUUAUAAUUCCCUUGGCACUGAGCAAUAUUUGGGACCUGCCCACUGUGCGUGCGUGAGGCAGAUGGAGUCUCUGCACAUCACUGGACUCCUGUGCCUACUUGCACCAGCUCAGGACCCUGCUAUCAAGCAGCAGCCCUAUACUGCACAAGCACGGGCAUACAAAUCCUCUGUAAGCCAGACCGGUGGAGCAGGUGUCAGGGAAAAGGGAGAUCCCAGGCUGCUGUGAAGCCAUGGGAGAUGGGAGCAGCAUCUUCCUAUUGUACCUACCUAUUGCAAACUGAUCUGGAUAUGCCUCUGCUCCAUGCUUCAGGUGUCUGCCUGGUAAAUGCAAAGGCCGGUCUCCACCACAAGCAGCUGCAAGCAGAGCCUGUAUCUGUAAAAUGAGAAGCAUGGCCAGGGAGCGCAAGAGGAAGGGACGGCAAGGCAAGGCAAGGCAGCAGCAGCUGGAGGAGCGCUUGGUUCUGCAGGGCUGCCUGUGGCGGAGGCUGCCAGCCCUGCCUGCACCCGCAGUUCCGUGGCUUAAUCACCUUCCCGCUGCGCCUGCCCCGACCAGUGAGGCUGCUGGUUUCAUGUCCAGUGAACCCCAGUCACUUCUGAGUUAGCUGCAAAAAACUGUGAUGCUCCUCUUCCAACAGCGAUGGAAGUACUACAGCCAGGACAUUGAAAACAAAGCAAAAUAAACGGACCGCGCUGAGGAAGCAGCCAGGAGGGGAAAGGAGGGGAAGGCAUGAGUAAGAGCCAACAGGAAAAGCCCUGGAUUUGUUUGCAGGGCACAUAUUAGCAGGGAGUGGCGGCUGCAGCGAUUGCUCUUUGCAACCUGGUUGCGUAAGGAGAGACUGAUUUCCUGAGGCUGCUGGGACAAAGCACAGCAAAAUUGUCAUCGAGGAGAGGAGAGAGCUGGGCACGGGCAUAGGAUCAGUCCUCACCCUGCUCCUGGCCUCCUAGCAUCCCCGUGCCAACCUGUCCCUCCUCAGCAGCCUCCUCCUUUUCUGGCCUUUGCCAUGCACGCAGCUACGGGCACAGUUAAAAGUUUCUCGAGAUAAAGAGGGGACUUGAGUUUCCAGGAUGAUCUGCUUAGCAGCUGUUGCUUGCAAAUGACAGUCUGGAGGAGGACGAUUUACAUUCAGCAAAGAGACUAGACUGGGAUGACUGAGGUCCCCCUGGCUAGCAAUGAGGUGUACGGAUGACAUCUGUGGAAGGGCUACCAUUCAUAGUGAUGAUAAUCAUGCUUGUAUCUCAUCUGUCCGCUUUCAUCUGCAGCACCUUGGUGGAGAAGGAAGGGCUCAUCUGGCCCAUAAAACAGGAAGAUUUGAAGUGACUUUCUUGUGGUGGCACAGCCUGCCACUGGCUGGGAGAAACUCAGUGUCCUACUUGCUAGGCCACGCGUGGCAUUUUGUGUAGCACAAGGUGGUCACGCUGCUCCAUCCACAUGAGCGACAUCUGGCAGGAUGGACCAGCCGGCACCAAAGAACCAAGUCAAUCAGCUCGUGAAGAGCAUCAGCUUUUACAGUGCUUUGAGCUCAGCUGGGAGAGGCAGCAAGCACGCAGACCUUGAUAUUGGCAGCCACUAGCAACACAUCAGCCUCGAAAGGAAGAGUAAUGGAAAUGCAGCCUGUUCCCGGGAGAGGAGCUCGUUGUAAAUGGGAUGGAUAUGUGAAGAAGUGCUCUGCUUCGUGUGCAUGAGUGGAAAUAACCUUAGAUAAAGAGGUUAAUAGUGGUGCGGCAUAUUCCACCUGGCCCAACUCUGGGUGCUGCGAUGCCUGCCUCCCACUGCUGGAAAUGCAUGGUCGGGGUAUGUUCUCCCAGAAAAGCAUCUGCAGUGCGGUAAAAUUAGCAGGGAUCCUUUCCGCAGUGAGGAUCCAAACUGCUCUAAGACAAGCCUGAGAUGCACAAACUGCUCCUGUGCUGAGAUGCAAGGGAUGACUGCUCAAACUCUCCUCAAGGUAAAAAAGUUAACUCCUCAUGGUAACAACCCCUGGCACACACUAAUCCUGUCCCGGACCGACACUCGUACCUUUCCCCCUCUACUUUCACAAGCAGAAUCAUAGAAUCAUAGAAUUGUCUAGGUUGGAAAAGACCUUUGAGAUCAUCGAGU